AUGAACGCUGGCGGCGUGCUUAACACAUGCAAGCCGAACGGUGAAGCCAAGCUUGCUUGGUGGAUCAGUGGCGAACGGGUGAGUAACACGUGAGCAACCUGCCCUGGACUCUGGGAUAAGCGCUGGAAACGGCGUCUAAUACUGGAUAUGAGCCCUCAUCGCAUGGUGGGGGUUGGAAAGAUUUUUUGGUCUGGGAUGGGCUCGCGGCCUAUCAGCUUGUUGGUGAGGUAAUGGCUCACCAAGGCGUCGACGGGUAGCCGGCCUGAGAGGGUGACCGGCCACACUGGGACUGAGACACGGCCCAGACUCCUACGGGAGGCAGCAGUGGGGAAUAUUGCACAAUGGGCGGAANCUGAUGCAGCAACGCCGCGUGAGGGAUGACGGCCUUCGGGUUGUAAACCUCUUUUAGCAGGGAAGAAGCGAGAGUGACGGUACCUGCAGAAAAAGCGCCGGCUAACUACGUGCCAGCAGCCGCGGUAAUACGUAGGGCGCAACGUUAUCCGGAAUUAUUGGGCGUAAAGAGUCGUAGGCGGUUUGUCGCGUCUGCUGUNAAUCCCGAGNUCANCUUNGGNCUGCAUUGGUACGGGCAGACUAGAGUCCGUAGGGGAAUUGGAUUCCUGGUGUANCGUGAUCGCAAUAUCAGAGAACA
rnacentral:rRNA from 1 species